rnacentral:rRNA from 1 species
AUUGAACGCUGGCGGCAGGCCUAACACAUGCAAGUCGAACGGUAGCACAGAGGAGCUUGCUCCUUGGGUGACGAGUGGCGGACGGGUGAGUAAUGUCUGGGAAACUGCCUGAUGGAGGGGGAUAACUACUGGAAACGGUAGCUAAUACCGCAUAACGUCGCAAGACCAAAGUGGGGGACCUUCGGGCCUCACACCAUCGGAUGUGCCCAGAUGGGAUUAGCUAGUAGGUGGGGUAACGGCUCACCUAGGCGACGAUCCCUAGCUGGUCUGAGAGGAUGACCAGCCACACUGGAACUGAGACACGGUCCAGACUCCUACGGGAGGCAGCAGUGGGGAAUAUUGCACAAUGGGCGCAAGCCUGAUGCAGCCAUGCCGCGUGUAUGAAGAAGGCCUUCGGGUUGUAAAGUACUUUCAGUCAGGAGGAAGGGUGUAGUCUUAAUACGGCUAUGCAUGACGU